AUGAGAAAAUUAAGUUUGAAGAAGUUUGGCCUAAGUUGGAAGCUUGUCUUUCAAACUUUGCAUGAAAAUUUAGAGAUUACAAAGAAAGAAGGAAAGACAGAAAGAGAUAAAGAAAAGGAAGGAAAGAAAGAAGAAAGAAGGAAGGAAGAAUUAAUGAAAGCAAAAAAGAAACACAGAGAAAAAGAAAAACAGAAAGAAAAAAAAAGAGAAGAAACCAACUGGGUUCCUUUAUAGUCCCCUGAUGGGUCUAUAUCAGUCUCUGGGAUCCUAACUCUACUGUAAACACAAUAUUGGGAAUUUAUUUUGAAAGGACUAGAAAUUGGGUUUAACUUACUUUAUUAUGUGUCAAGUUUCAGUUGCCAGAAACAUUCUGUCUAUGGAGAAAGAAAAUAGAUUGUUUUGCUUCCUAAGGAAAUGCAUUGAAUUUGAAGUAUGAUGACUGAAAGUACGUUAUGUUGGAAAGUUAAAUGCAAGUUAACCAAAUGCACAUGGGAUUGAAAAUUUCUCUAAAGGUUCUUUGUGGAUUUGGGUAUACAACAUUGGCACCCCCCACCUCUUUUUUUUUUUUCUUUUAUCUUCUUUUCUCUUUCUUUCUUUCUUUCUUUCUUUCUUUCUUUCUUUCUUUCUUUCUUUCUUUCUUUCUUUUUCUUUUCUUUCUUUUUUCUUUAGAUAAGCUUAUCAGCCUUGCAUAGGGAUGUUUUCUGUGUCUGGGUCCUAAAGUAGCAUAUAGAUUUAGCUGUGAGGGAGUCAAUGCAGAAGGAAAACAGUAAGAUAGAAAGCAGAACAAAAUACUGUUAUAAUUGCUUUAAAUGCAGCAUCACGAGCUAUUUGCAUUUUUGCCAAUUUACUUAAUUAAGCAACAGAAUAUGAAAAGUAGCUUUCAAGGGCCUCUCUGUCUCAGCCCAAAGGCAGACAUGCAAACAAAUAAUUAGGAUAUAAUGUAAUGGCAAAUCAUAGUGGAAUGAGAGACAAAUUGUCUCCUGGAUAAGUGAGUCAUGAAGGCUUCAACAGUAUAAGUGAUGUUUGAACUGUGUCUCAAAGGGUGAUAAGAAUGUGCUGGAUGGAGAGGAAAAGAAAAGCAUUGUAGGGCAGUGAAUAGCUAGAGCAAAGGCACUGAUCUGUGAAAGUACAGGACAUGUUGAGGGAAACAGUGAAUGACCUGGUGUGGUUCUAGAAGUACACUAUGUUGGGAAACAUAUACUAUGUUAGGAAAAGGGUUCUUGGCAUGACGUGGCUAGAAAAGUAGAUUAGAAUCAAAUGAUGAAGAACCUUCUAUGUAGAUCAUAUGAUUUUGGACUUGAUCUCAGGGUCCUCUGAAGUUUUCUUUUAAUUCAACAUAAGUUUAAUAUUAAGAAUACACAUGAUUUUUUUUUUGUCAUAGUGAAACAGGCCAUUUGGAGAAGGGACAUGUGGGAGUAAUUCAUUUCUUUGCUGAACGCGGCCAUUAUUUAUACUUUUUCUGAGGUUUCUAACAUGAUAAUAUUUCCUUACAUUUAUCUACCACCAUUCCAAUAUUGUUCCAUUGCCCACUAGUUGUGAUCUCCACACAUUCAUCAAUCAAAGAUUCAUAAAGGUAUCAGAUCACCACAGUAUUCCUUUGGCAUGUCUGACACAACUUAAUUUUAAUGACAACUUCUUGUCCAUAGUUUUUUUCUCUCAAGAAGGAUGAGCUUUGCUCAUGUUGGCUACUUACCAGGCUCAGAGCUGCCUUGAAACAGAAUUUGCAGCCUCCCUCAUGUGCCUGUGGUAUCAUUAAAGGUUUUUAAGCAGAGGAAACCGCCACUUUCUGGGUCAUUGCCAUUUCUCCCUCAUGCUCUGUAACCCCACCUCAGCAGUAUAUUACGUGAUCUUUUUAUUUCCCCCUACUAUUCCUCCCAAACUCUCACAGCUUCCUUAAUACCCAGCCAAUUGCCAACAUCCUCUUUCUUCAAGCAGCUGGUGAUUAUCUUUGCUUCCCAGAAUGUAUUUGAUCCUUAGAACAUCCAUAGUUUUAAAAAAUCUUACUAACCAGACAGUUAACAUCCUUUUCAUGGUCAUCCAUGGUUUGGUGGUCUUGGACAUAUGACCUCCAUGUCAAUUCAAGCAAGAUCUGCACCCCUAUUAGCGAUUAGAAUAACUUUUAAUAAAUAUUUAUUGAAUACCCAUUAUGUGAGGGAUGUCAUAGGCAUUGAAAGACAAUGAUGAAUAAAACAAAUGAGACAUCUGCCCUCAGGAGUUUAUAGCCUGUAACAGGUGUGGGCAAACUACACCGCAUGGGUCAAAUCUGGCCCACCAUCUAUUUUUGACUAUAAAGUUUUAUUGAAACACAGCCAUAUUCCUUCUUUUGUGUAUUACCUAUGUCUGCUUUUAUGCUACAAAGUGAGAGUUAUAUAGUUGCAGCAGAGACUAUGUGACCUGAAAAGCCUAAAACGUUUACUAUUUCACCCUUUGCAGAGAGAAUUUGCUAAUCCUUGGCCUAAACCAUGCUUCUUGAACAAUCUGUAAUGAAAGAUUAGUUAAAAAUUUUAGUUAAAAAUUGUAGACAUGUUUUCUAGCUUUUAAUAAAAGUGAGUUUUUAGAAAAACAAACAAAAAAAUCAAACAUACAAAAUACAAGCUCGGAAUACUAUGUGAAAUUGUUAUAUAAGUUUCUAAAUACUUAAUCUUAGUUUCUGUAUUUGUCUCCUGAAUGAUGAGUAAUAAAUAGUUUGCAGACAAGCACCCAUGAGCUUUGAGACCACACUUUGAGUAGUGCUAGCUUAGAAGUGAAGACAGAAAUCAAGCAAAUAAUAACACUAAUAAUUAUCCUAGAUCAAAUUUUACUAAUAGCUAUGACUAAAAAUCAUAAAGUGAUAUGAGGCUUAAUUUUAGGGGAGACCAAGAUAGGGUUUUCUGAAGGGAUGAACUUUUUACUGAGAUUAUACAGUGAAUGUGAAUUAACCAGAGACAGAGUGUGUGUCUUUGCUGGAGUCUGAUGAUGUUAAAAAAAACAUCUAUGGCAAUGGAAAUACAUGUGUAAAAGCCCUAGGUGGGAACGAGCAGGAGAAUAGGGUCUAGAGGCAGAGAACCGAAGGCUGUUUCAUGCCGACUUCCUGGAACUAAAAAGAAAGGAGAACCCUAACUUUCCAUGCCUAAGUAACAAAAGGACCAGAGGCUACUCCCUUUGCAAACCCGCUAUCUUUUCUGCGCGGCAGAUGGGAAAUUGGCUGUC
rnacentral:lncRNA from 1 species